GUUGAUAUGGUUCCUGGCAAGCCCA
rnacentral:piRNA from 1 species